rnacentral:rRNA from 1 species
AGCAGCCGCGGUAAUUCCAGCUCCAAUAGCGUAUAUUAAAGUUGUUGCAGUUAAAAAGCUCGUAGUUGAAUUUCGGGGUCAGUAGGUCGGUCGUGCCUACGGUAUGUACUGGUCUCACUGAUUCCUCCUUCUUGAAGAACCGUAAUGUCAUUAACUUGGUGUUGCGGGGAAACAGGACUGUUACUUUGAAAAAAUUAGAGUGUUUAAAGCAGGCCAUCGCCUGAAUACAUUAGCAUGGAAUAAUGAAAUAGGACGUUCGAUCCUAUUUUGUUGGUUUCUAGGAUUGACGUAAUGAUUAAUAGGGAUAGUUGGGGGCAUUAGUAUUCAAUUGUCAGAGGUGAAAUUCUUGGAUUUAUUGAAGACUAACUACUGCGAAAGCAUUUGCCAAGGAUGUUUUCAUUAAUCAAGAACGAAAGUUAGGGGAUCGAAGACGAUCAGAUACCGUCGUAGUCUUAACCAUAAACUAUGCCGACUAGGGAUCGGAUGAUGUUAAUUUUAAUGACUCAUUCGGCGCCUUACG